rnacentral:rRNA from 1 species
CAGCAGCCGCGGUAAUACGUAGGGUGCGAGCGUUAAUCGGAUUUACUGGGCGUAAAGCGUGCGCAGGCGGCCCGUUAAGACAGGUGUGAAAUCCCUGGGCUCAACCUAGGAAUUGCGCUUGUGACUGGCGGGCUCGAGUACGGUAGAGGGGGGUGGAAUUCCUGGUGUAGCAAUGAAAUGCGUAGAGAUCAGGAGGAACACCGAUGGCGAAGGCAGCCCCCUGGGCCUGUACUGACGCUCAUGCACGAAAGCGUGGGGAGCAAACAGGAUUAGAUACCCUGGUAGUCCACGCCCUAAACGAUGGGUACUAGCCGUUUGGUGCGCGAGAGCGCUGAGUGGCGAAGCUAACGCGUGAAGUACCCCGCCUGGGGAGUACGGCCGCAAGGUUGAAACUUAAAGGAAUUGGCGGG